AGAGUUUGAUCCUGGCUCAGGAUGAACGCUGGCGGCGUGCUUAACACAUGCAAGUCGAACGGACAGGUAAUGAAACCUAGUGAUUUAUCUGUUAGUGGCGGACGGGUGAGUAACGCGUGGGUAACCUGCCGUAUACAGGGGGAUAACACUUAGAAAUAGGUGCUAAAACCGCAUAAGCGCACAGGAUCGCAUGGUCCGGUGUGAAAAACUCCGGUGGUAUACGAUGGACCCGCGUCUGAUUAGCUUGUUGGCGGGGUAGAGGCCCACCAAGGCGACGAUCAGUAGCCGGCCUGAGAGGGUGAACGGCCACAUUGGGACUGAGACACGGCCCAAACUCCUACGGGAGGCAGCAGUGGGGAAUAUUGCACAAUGGGGGAAACCCUGAUGCAGCGACGCCGCGUGAGUGAAGAAGUAUUUCGGUAUGUAAAGCUCUAUCAGCAGGAAAGAAAAUGACGGUACCUGACUAAGAAGCCCCGGCUAACUACGUG
rnacentral:rRNA from 1 species